rnacentral:lncRNA from 11 species
AGCACUUUCCAGAGGAGAGCUUUCAUAGAAUCAUAGAAUGCUAGAGUUGGAAGAGACCUCGUGGGCCAUCCAGUCCAACCCCAUUCUGCCAAGAAGCAGGGAAAUUGCAUUCAAAGCACCCCCGACAGAUGGCCAUCCAGCCUCUGCUUAAAAGCUUCCAAAGAGGGAGCCUCCACGACACUCCGAGGCAGAGAGUUCCACGGCUGAAUAUUUAUAAAAGCUUCAGAAGAUACCAUUACAAACAUAUGAAGAAACCUUCAAAAGAAACCUGAAGAAGGGAUACUUCUCCUGAAACAAGGAUGAUAAACACCCGGGA